rnacentral:rRNA from 1 species
GACGAACGCUGGCGGCGUGCUUAACACAUGCAAGUCGAACGAAGUGGCGAACGGGUGAGUAACGCGUAAUCAACCUGCCCUUCAGUGAGGGCCCACAGUUGGAAACGACUGCUAAUACCGCAUACUGAAGGAGGGGAUUGCGUCUGAUUAGCUAGUUGGAUGGGGAACGGCCGACCAAGGCGCUGACCAGUAGCCGGUCUGAGAGGAGGGACGGCCACAUUGGGACUGAGACACGGCCCAGACUCCUACGGGAGGGAGCAGGGGGGGAUCUUCCGCAAUGGACGAAAGUCUGACGGAGCAACGCCGCGGGAGGGAUGACGGCCUCCGGGUUGUAAAGCUCUGUUAAUCGGGACGCGGUACCGGAAUAGAAAGCCACGGCUAACUACGUGCCAGCAGCCGCGGUAAUUC